GACGAACGCUGGCGGCGUGCUUAACACAUGCAAGUCGAACGGAAAGGCCUUGCUUUUGUGGGUGCUCGAGUGGCGAACGGGUGAGUAACACGUGAGUAACCUGCCCUUGACUUUGGGAUAACUUCAGGAAACUGGGGCUAAUACCGGAUAGGAGCUCCUGCUGCAUGGUGGGGGUUGGAAAGUUUCGGCGGUUGGGGAUGGACUCGCGGCUUAUCAGCUUGUUGGUGGGGUAGUGGCUUACCAAGGCUUUGACGGGUAGCCGGCCUGAGAGGGUGACCGGCCACAUUGGGACUGAGAUACGGCCCAGACUCCUACGGGAGGCAGCAGUGGGGAAUAUUGCACAAUGGGCGGAAGCCUGAUGCAGCAACGCCGCGUGCGGGAUGACGGCCUUCGGGUUGUAAACCGCUUUCGCCUGUGACGAAGCGUGAGUGACGGUAAUGGGUAAAGAAGCACCGGCUAACUACGUG
rnacentral:rRNA from 1 species